CUGCUGCCUCCCGUAGGAGUUUGGGCCGUGUCUCAGUCCCAAUGUGGCCGGUCACCCUCUCAGGUCGGCUACUGAUCGUCGCCUUGGUGGGCCGUUACCCCGCCAACAAGCUAAUCAGACGCGGGCCCAUCUUACACCACCGGAGUUUUUCACACUGUUCCAUGCGAAACUGUGCGCUUAUGCGGUAUUAGCAGCCGUUUCCGGCUGUUGUCCCCCUGUGUAAGGCAGGUCGCCCACGCGUUACUCACCCGUCCGCCA
rnacentral:rRNA from 1 species